GCAAGUCGCUGUUUAUCUUAAGGCUUUUCUAAUGAUACUGGUUCUAUUCCUGACACGUUAUUCCCUGGCUGUUCCAGAUUGGACGUGUCAUUUUAGUCAGAGUGAAAAAUGUAUUCAUUACUUACCUACUUAAAUAAAAUAUAUAUUAGUGUAUAAAUUGCCUAAAGUGCUUCCCGAGGACUAUUUAAAAAAGUUUCCAAGCUCCAUUCCCCAUUGGUUUCAACCACUCAAGGUGAAAUAAUUACUCCGGCUCAUCCUUUUCCCAUGGCCUGGACAUUUCAGUUUCCAUUGCCCAAGGAUUUUGUAUAUUAUACAAGUACUUGGGUGAAAUGUUUUUGAAAGAAGAAAUAGCAAGUCGCUGAUUAUCUUAAAGACUUUUCAAAUGAGACUGGAUAUUCCUGACACGUUAUUCCCUGGCUGUCCCAGAUUGGACGUGUCAUUUUUAGUCCGAGUAAAAAACGUCAUUACUUCCCUAAUUAAAUAUAUAAUUAAUGUAGGUACCUAAUGUCAUUUUUCCUGGACAUUUCAUGUAUUUUCCCAUGUAUUUACAUUCCCAGUACAUA